rnacentral:rRNA from 1 species
UGGGGAAUAUUGGGCAAUGGGCGCAAGCCUGAUCCAGCCAUGCCGCGUGUGUGAAGAAGGCCUUCGGGUUGUAAAGCACUUUUGUUGGGGAAGAAACCGGUCGGAUUAAUACUUCGGCUGAAUGACGGUACCCAAAGAAUAAGCACCGGCUAACUUCGUGCCAGCAGCCGCGGUAAUACGAAGGGUGCAAGCGUUACUCGGAAUUACUGGGCGUAAAGCGUGCGUAGGCGGUUUGUUAAGUCUGUCGUGAAAGCCCCGGGCUCAACCUGGGAAUGGCGAUGGAUACUGGCAAGCUAGAGUGUGUCAGAGGAUGGUGGAAUUCCCGGUGUAGCGGUGAAAUGCGUAGAGAUCGGGAGGAACACCAGUGGCGAAGGCGGCCAUCUGGGACAACACUGACGCUGAGGCACGAAAGCGUGGGGAGCGAACA